rnacentral:rRNA from 1 species
GAUGAACGCUGGCGGCGUGCCUAAUACAUGCAAGUCGAGCGAACAGACGAGGAGCUUGCUCCUCUGACGUUAGCGGCGGACGGGUGAGUAACACGUGGAUAACCUACCUAUAAGACUGGGAUAACUUCGGGAAACCGGAGCUAAUACCGGAUAAUAUAUUGAACCGCAUGGUUCAAUAGUGAAAGACGGUUUUGCUGUCACUUAUAGAUGGAUCCGCGCCGCAUUGGCUAGUUGGUAAGGUAACGGCUUACCAAGGCAACGAUGCGUAGCCGACCUGAGAGGGUGAUCGGCCACACUGGAACUGAGACACGGUCCAGACUCCUACGGGAGGCAGCAGUAGGGAAUCUUCCGCAAAGGGCGAAAGCCUGACGGAGCAACGCCGCGUGAGUGAUGAAGGUCUUUGGAUCGUAAAACUCUGUUAUUAGGGAAGAACAAAUGUGUAAGUAACUAUGCACGUCUUGACGGUACCUAAUCAGAAAGCCACGGCUAACUACGUG